rnacentral:rRNA from 1 species
CUGCUGCCUCCCGUAGGAGUCUGGUCCGUGUCUCAGUACCAGUGUGGGGGACCUUCCUCUCAGAACCCCUACGCAUCGUCGCCUCGGUGGGCCGUUACCCCGCCGACUAGCUAAUGCGCCGCAUGGCCAUCCGCAGCCGAUAAAUCUUUAAACAUCGGGAGAUGCCUCCCAACGUUGUUACGCGGUAUUAGACGGAAUUUCUUCCGCUUAUCCCCCUGCUGCGGGCAGGUUCCAUACGUGUUACUCACCCGUGCGCCGGUCGCCGG